GUGAGCUAAUGGGAGAAGGAGUUCUGUAGGGACUGAACAGCCCAGCCUUCAGUAAUCACAAGUGGAAUGCUGUCAGUCCAUCUGAGAUCGGGCAAUGGCGCAGAGCAAACAACAGACACUUCGAGAAACGCAGAUGCGUCAUCUGGAGGGUCAGGACUACUAGAGGGCUUCUCUGGAUAAAAGCCAAAGUUGGACCAACACAACUGCACUGGAACCCAUAGCAGUGACAGAAAGUAGGAGGACAGAAGGACAGGAGGGAAAAGUCAGCAAAGAGAGCCUGAAGAGAACUACUUGGAGGGUGACUGGAGGAGAGGCUGCUGAAAU